UACAGAGGGUGCGAGCGUUAAUCGGAAUUACUGGGCGUAAAGCGCGCGUAGGCGGCUUUGCAAGUCGGGUGUGAAAUCCCCAGGCUUAACCUGGGAACUGCAUUCGAGACUGCAUUGCUAGAGUAUGGGAGAGGGAAGUGGAAUUCCAGGUGUAGCGGUGAAAUGCGUAGAUAUCUGGAGGAACACCGGUGGCGAAGGCGGCAUCCUGGACCGGUAUUGACGCUGAGGCGCGAAAGCCAGGGGAGCAAACGGG
rnacentral:rRNA from 1 species